rnacentral:misc_RNA from 1 species
GAUGAAGAACGUAGCGAAAUGCGAUACGUAAUGUGAAUUGCAGAAUUCAGUGAAUCAUCGAAUCUUUGAACGCACAUUGCGCCCGCCAGCAUUCUGGCGGGCAUGCCUGUCCGAGCGUCAUUUCAACCCAUCAAGCCCCCGGGCUUGCGUUGGGGCCCUGCGGCCGCCGCAGGCCCUGAAAUGCAGUGGCGGUCUCGCUAGACGGCACCGAGCGUAGUAGCACUAUUUCGCUCCGGUGGCGCGGCGGGCUUCCGGCCGUGAAAACCUCCAGCGGGUCCCCCCGCUGGGCGCGUACCAGGUUGACCUCGGAUCAGGUAGGAAUACCCGCUGAACUUAAGCAUAUUCAAUAAGCGGAGGA